rnacentral:rRNA from 1 species
UACCCGCUGAACUUAAGCAUAUCAAUAAGCGGAGGAAAAGAAACCAACAGGGAUUACCUUAGUAACGGCGAGUGAAGCGGUAAAAGCUCAAAUUUGAAAUCUUCGGAAUUGUAAUUUGAUGGAUAAAAUUGCAUCGAACAAAAGUCCAUUGGAAGAUGGCGCCAUAGAGGGUGAUAGCCCCGUUAAGUUCACUUGCACUAUAAUUUUAUUCCAAAGAGUCGGGUUGUUUGGGAAUGCAGCUCAAAGUGGGUGGUAAAUUCCAUCUAAAGCUAAAUAUUGACGAGAGACCGAUAGCGAACAAGUACAGUGAUGGAAAGAUGAAAAGAACUUUGAAAAGAGAGUGAAAUAGUACGUGAAAUUGUUGAAAGGGAAGGGGAGGGAAGAUGUUAAAGGGACUCCUUGCUUGCAGGGAUCCCCCCAAGAGUCUUUCCUCUCGCCCGUCUUGAAA